ensembl:lncRNA
UAUUUUCUUUGCACUGACUUUAGGGAGCCAGCCGCUUCCCGUGUUAGCACUCGGGUGCCAGGUGGCCAAAAACACGGGGCAAAGGUUUUCCUAGUUAAGUCGUGGUAUCCACAGCUGUAGCUCUGAGGAAGGAACAGGGCCAUUUGCGGCACUUCGUGCUGUGUGAAGGUCAUCUCAGCUAUGAGCAAAGGGAGAAGUGUGGGCAUGGAGCUAGGAAGAUGGAGCAGACCCAUCAAGGUGAAAUGAGCAAGUCUGUGUUGUUGGAGAGUGAAAAAGCUGGCCAAAUCAUCUGCACAAUGUCCCUUGCCCAGCAGUUCUGUGUGAAAACCAAAAUCAUGCUUGGAAUUUCCAGAUUUCUCCAGUGCUUGCGGUUCCAACAUUUCCUCGUGGUGGCACAGACCGGCAACCUAGCCAGUCUUGGUGAACUGUCAAGAUCCAAAGUACAGCAGGAGACCUUCCUCGAGGAAAGAGUCUAUUUGUGAUGCUGGGAACACAUGUGGAAGUGACCUGUGCAGUCUCCCGAAUGACAAGCAGAGCUCUACUCUUAGUCUUCGGACUGUGAAAUCACCACAAAGAUGCCCAUGGAGGUGGAGAUGUACUCAGUGUCCAGGUGUAACUCAUUCGGGCUCUGUGAGGGCUGCCACAUGAGGAAGAAAACUCCUCUUUGGCAUCUG